rnacentral:rRNA from 1 species
AUGCUUACUUUCGUCAAGUUGUGGCAGCAGCGGAGAGCGAACCUUCGGAGGCGUUUGUCGAGAACAACUCUCAUGAACCUUCGGAGGCAGUCGCUGUACUACAAAGGCGGCCUUCCUCUCGAGUCCCUCUUCAAGCUUGAAACCUAUCAAGGAGUCGUGGCCCUGAGGAUUGAAAUCUGUGAGGACCUUUCCAAGAGGGAAUCGGCGGAUGUUGCUCCGGUCACAACACUCAUCAGCCAGUGCACCGAGCUGGCAUAUGUUCACCUUUCCCUGCACCCGUCAAUGGCCUACGGUGGCGGCGUCCGUAGUCCCUGUACUCGACGGACGGUGGCGGCUAUGGUCGUGCCCUUCUUGAAGGCACCGUUUUGGAGUCCUCGCUCCGCCGUUGGCCUCUCACCUCUCCUAGGUAUCGCUCUUGGUGAUCUUUGUCGGCUCAAGGCGGUGCUCCUUUGCUUAAACUUUGUGUGCUUUGUAGUCGUUGGAGUGGUGUGUUGGUGCCCGGCACCCUUGUAUCUCGCCCUGGUGGGGGAAAACCCUUUUUCGUUAAUGGCCUACCACAGCAGCUUGUUCGCAGAGGCUGUUCGGGGGCUACCUCUUAGGCACUUGGGCCUCCAGGGCUGCUUGAGCAACAAUCAUGCCGCCCGGUCUGCCACCGUCUUGCUUCGUGACACCAAGAACCUGGAAGUAUUGUCGCUGUUUCCUAUGGGUCAGCCCAGAAAGAAGGCGUCCUGGACGUCCAAUGGCGAAUCGGAUGCCGAGACUGAAGAUUGUGACGAUGGGGUUGACUGUAGUAGCUGCGUGACCGAUAGUUUGUGGCAGAUGUAUGUCAGAUGCUUGCACCAUAAGCUGAGAAGAAUCAACAUUGUAGAUUCCAAAGGACUGCAGCUCAAAAGAGGGGAUAAAUCCCCCAGCAAUGCAGUGCUCUCACCUACAAACAUGUAUGAAAGUGUAGGAGGGCAUGAAUACUCAAUAUCCCAUGUCAAGGCUGAAAAGUGGGUUGAGGCAUAG